GAUGGUUAAUGUCUUAGUGGGAUUGGCACACUCUCCUGUCCCAUGGCUUCUAUAGUCCCCCAAAAUGCAGAAUGUUAAUUAUAUAGAUAACACUUCUUCUUCUUCUUGCCACUUCACGAGGUACAAUAUGUUGAGCAGGAAAGGAAAUGUGAUCUCUGCCCUCUCUGAUGGUGUCAACUGUAAUUCAAGAGUUGACUUGAAGGAUUAUUUUUGAGGUAGGUGAGUCCAGCAAAGUGUCUGUCUGCUUUAGGAAAGCACGAGAGUUAACCUGCCUGGGUUGUAGCCACAUGAUCUGCUUCAGGUGCAUGUCUCCAUGGGGAUGGACUGUGCUGACCUAACAGGAGGGUGCUUCAGUUAGGAAACCCACCUGGAGGCAGCCCAUCCUUCAGCCAGGUGAUGAUUCCUGCAAGGGAAGGGGGGGAUGUGUAAAGAAGCAGCUCUCUCCUUCUCUUUCCAUGGUGGGUCAAGCAAGUUGUUCAUUUCAGAAGCCAUUCCAACCAGGCCUAUCUGCUCCAGGAUACAGGCUCUGAGGAAAGCCUGUUGUGUGCAGCCUGUUUUUGUCAUCCAUGGGACCUGACAGCAAAUCCAGCAUGAGAAUAUGGAGAAUUCACAUGUGGAGAAUGCAGCCACUAGGAGCUGAAACAUCAUCCCAGGCUCCCUUCACAUCAACCACUGGUCCUCCAGCCAAAUAUUUUAUCAUGAGCUUGGCCUAAAUGAAAGGCAGUCUGCUAAAAGGAGAAGAUUCCAGAUCCACAAUGACAAACACUGAGUGGCUGAUAUUUUGGCAACGUUAUUCAGCUAUUCAGUGAUGAUUGCUGUAGAGCCAUAACAUUUAAAACCUCACAGGUGAAUUUUGCCUAGGGGACAAACAUUUUCUUGUACACUUCAGAGAGAACUGAAACUCAGCAUGAAAUAAUCUCAAAGAAAUAAAGAAAGUUUUCUUAGUGAAG
rnacentral:lncRNA from 1 species